rnacentral:rRNA from 1 species
ACACCCGUUUCCAUCCCGAACACGGCAGUUAAGCCCUCCUGCGCCGAUGGUACUUGCCGGGCAACUGGUUGGGAGAGUAGGACGUCGCCUGGU